AAACUCCUACGGGAGGCAGCAGUAGGGAAUUUUCGUCAAUGGGGGGAACCCUGAACGAGCAAUGCCGCGUGAGUGAAGAAGGUCUUCGGAUCGUAAAGCUCUGUUGUAAGAGAAAAACGGACUCCAUAGGGAAUGAUGGAGGAGUGAUGGUAUCUUACCAGAAAGCCACGGCUAACUACGUGCCAGCAGCCGCGGUAAUACGUAGGUGGCGAGCGUUAUCCGGAAUCAUUGGGCGUAAAGGGUGCGUAGGUGGCACGAUAAGUCUGUAGUAAAAGGCAGCGGCUCAACCGCUGUUGGCUAUGGAAACUGUCGAGCUGGAGUGCAGAAGAGGGCGAUGGAAUUCCAUGUGUAGCGGUAAAAUGCGUAGAUAUAUGGAGGAACACCAGUGGCGAAGGCGGCCGCCUGGUCUGCAACUGACACUGAAGCACGAAAGCGUGGGGAGCAAAUAGGAUUAGAUACCCUAGUAGUCCACGCCGUAAACGAUGAGAACUAAGUGUUGGGGAAACUCAGUGCUGCAGUUAACGCAAUAAGUUCUCCGCCUGGGGAGUAUGCACGCAAGUGUGAAACUCAAAGGAAUUGACGGGGGCCCGCACAAGCGGUGGAGUAUGUGGUUUAAUUCGAAGCAACGCGAAGAACCUUACCAGGCCUUGACAUGGAGAUAAAGGCCCUGGAGACAGGGAGAUAGAUAUAUCUCACACAGGUGGUGCAUGGUUGUCGUCAGCUCGUGUCGUGAGAUGUUGGGUUAAGUCCCGCAACGAGCGCAACCCUUGUUUCAUGUUACCAAUAUUGAGUUAGGGACUCAUGAGAGACUGCCGGUGACAAACCGGAGGAAGGUGGGGAUGACGUCAAAUCAUCAUGCCCCUUAUGACCUGGGCUACACACGUACUACAAUGGCGGUUACAAAGG
rnacentral:rRNA from 1 species